rnacentral:rRNA from 1 species
AGCUGCUUUGAUGAAGUUUUCGGAUGGAUUUAAACAGCUUAGUGGCGGACGGGUGAGUAACGCGUGGGUAACCUGCCUCACACUGGGGGAUAACAGUUAGAAAUAGCUGCUAAUACCGCAUAAGCGCACGGUUCCGCAUGGAACAGUGUGAAAAACUCCGGUGGUUAAAGAUGGGCAUGCGUUGUAUUAGCUAGUUGGUGAGGUAACGGCUCACCAAGGCAACGAUACAGUAGGGGACUGAGAGGUUAACCCCACAUUGGUACUGAGACACGGACCAAACUCC